CACGUAGGGGGCAAGCGUUGUCCGGAUUUAUUGGGCGUAAAGAGCUCGUAGGUGGUUCGGUAAGUCGGGUGUUAAACCCCCAGGCUCAACCUGGGGACGCCACUCGAUACUGCUGUGACUAGAGUCCGGUAGGGGAGCGUGGAAUUCCUGGUGUAGCGGUGAAAUGCGCAGAUAUCAGGAGGAACACCAGCGGCGAAGGCGGCGCUCUGGGCCGGUACUGACGCUGAGACGCGAAAGCGUGGGGAGCGAACAGG
rnacentral:rRNA from 1 species